rnacentral:precursor_RNA from 1 species
UCUAGCACCUCCCUGGAGACGAGCAUCCAGCUGUGUAGCCUUAUCCGGGCUUGUGCUGAAGC